AUCGUCUUGCCCACAAACCACUCACACCUGAGAAGUUGUGAAGGUUUGGGGGCGGAAACUGGCCUCCCGUACCUUGUCGUGCGGUUGGCGGAAAACUUGUCUCCGGCGAUGGACGUCGCGACAUCGGUGGUUGUAAAAGACCUUCUUGUCUUGUCGCUCGAAUCCUCGUCAUCUUAGAGAGCUGCAGGACCCUUAGGCAGCACACACUCUGUGCGCUUCGA
rnacentral:misc_RNA from 1 species